AGCGCAACGUGGUUUCAGGAGAGGUAGUACGAGACAAGGUCCAAAACGUAUAUAUAUGUAUUUAUUGUACUAAUUAUAUAUUUUAACAUGACCGAGGGCAAAACAUUAGAGAAGCCGGCAAAAAACCUUCUUGCUCUGAAUCCAAAAGAGGAUGCAGAAUUUCAGAAAAAGGUGCAGCAAGUGAAGAAACGUCCGAAAACGGCACAGUCUCUGACACCUGGAGUUAUCUAUGUUGGUCAUCUUCCUCGAGGAUUGUUGGAGCUUCAGUUGAGAGGUUACUUUCAGCAGUUUGGCAAAGUUUUAAGACUGAGAAUUUCCAGGAGUAAAAAGACUGGAGGGAGCAAAGGCUAUGGAUUUGUGGAAUUUGAAUGUGAUGAGGUGGCAAAGAUUGUGGCUGAGACCAUGGACAACUACCUUAUGGGAGAAAGGCUCAUAAAAUGUCAUGUGAUGCCACCUGAGAAGGUCCAUAAAAGGCUCUUUGAUGGCUCCCAGAGGGGCUUUAAAAGGCCAAAGCAGCCUGCAGUGGCUCGUUAUAACAAAGAACAUACACCUGAAGAUGUAAAGAAAAUUACAGCAAAACUUUUAAGCAAAGAGGCUAAGCUACGCAAAAGACUGGCAGCAAAGGGCAUAGACUACGAUUUUCCUGGAUUUGCAAUGCAAUUUCCUGCAAAAAAGGCCCAAUUACAAGCAGAUCUUUCCAUGUGUAGCGAGGAUGCCACUCCUGUGUGCACCCCAUCAAUGCUAGAGAGAAGGAAAUCCAUCAGAGUUGAAGAGGAGGAGGAGGAGGAGGAUGAUGACGACAAAGAGAUCAUUAUCAAAGCCAAAUCGAUCCCUGAAAACAGUGAGGAUGUUGAAGACACGGACGAAGAUGAUGGUGAGGAAGAGAAUGACCAGGAGGAACAAAUGGCUUAAAAGGGAAAUCCUACAGAGCUGAGCUAUCUUCUGAAAAUCUAUGUGUGUGUUCUGCUAAAGAAAGAAAGUCAUACAUUUUGGGAUGUCACUCCUGAAUGAAAUCCAUCAGAGUUGAAGAGGAUGAUGCGACGAAGAGAUCAUUAUCAAAGCCAAAUCAAUCCCUGAAAACUGUGAGGAUGUUGAAGACACGGAAGAAGAUGAUGGUGAGGAAGAGAAUGAGCAGGAGGAACAAAUGGCUUAAAAGGGAAAUCUAAUAUAAAAUAAAGACUUUAAUCCCUGUUUUAAGAGGGACACUGGAUUCACUGUUUUCAGAGCCAUUUCUUUGUGACUACUCCUCAGUCCUCCACUACAGCCUGGAGAAGAGAGGAACACCGUGUCCUGAUUGUCAUAUUUUUAUAAUUGGGGAAAACUGCCUAAAUGUUAAUGUAAUGUGUUGAUUUGAGGUUUGUUUUAUACAGAUCAUAAAUUGGUUGCAUUUAAUGUGCACUUUUUAGUCUCCCAGAGGGAGAGUAAAAUCUUAUUGACUGUCUAAUACACAUAGUAUGUGUGUAAGGCUGAUUUGAAAGUAUAAGUCUGGAGCAGAGAGCUGAAAAUGACUAUAAAUAUGCUGUAUUUGACAAUAUUUGCAAUGUCUGUAUGUGGUAUUCAGUCAAUCUUUUUCUGACAUAGUGAAAUGUUAUUAAACUUUUUGCUUGAUGAAA